AGUGAACGCUGGCGGUAGGCCUAACACAUGCAAGUCGAACGGCAGCACAGUAAGAGCUUGCUCUUACGGGUGGCGAGUGGCGGACGGGUGAGGAAUACAUCGGCAUCUACUUUUUCGUGGGGGAUAGCGUAGGGAAACUUACGCUAAUACCGCAUACGACCUACGGGUGAAAGCAGGGGAUCUUCGGACCUUGCGCGAUUGAAUGAGCCGAUGUCGGAUUAGCUAGUUGGCGGGGUAAAGGCCCACCAAGGCGACGAUCCGUAGCUGGUCUGAGAGGAUGAUCGGCCACACUGGAACUGAGACACGGUCCAGACUCCUACGGGAGGCAGCAGUGGGGAAUAUUGGACAAUGGGCGCAAGCCUGAUCCAGCCAUACCGCGUGAGUGAAGAAGGCCUUCGGGUUGUAAAGCCCUUUUGUUGGGAAAGAAAAGCAGCAGGUUAAUACCCCGCUGUUCUGACGGUACCCAAAGAAUAAGCACCGGCUAACUUCGUG
rnacentral:rRNA from 1 species